AGCUUUAAGUUUUAUUUAAAGUGAGACCUGCCCAGUGCUAAUUAGUAAACGGCCGCAGUACCUUGACUGUGCUAAGGUAGCAUAAUCAGUUGGCUUUUAAAUGGAGUCGGGAAUGAAUGGAUUAAUAGGGUUAAGCUGUCUUUACUAUAUUAAAUUGAACUUACUUAUUAGGUGAAAAUGCCUAAGUUGUAAAAGAAAAAAGACGAGAAGACCCUAGGAGUUUUAACUAGAUGCUAUUUAUUAUAGUUAAUGUUUUUGUUGGGGCGACAUUGGAACAAUUUUAAACUUCCUUUAUGUUUAUAGGCCGACUUUGUAUGUAAAUCUAAACUACCCUAGGGAUAACAGCGUAAUUCUUUUUGAGCUUGCGACCUCGAUGUUGGACUAGGAAUUUGGUGGGCUAGCCGCCUA
rnacentral:rRNA from 1 species